rnacentral:lncRNA from 1 species
UUUGUUUAUUCUAUCUAAACUUUGAUUUAUCUUUUUGGGAACUGAUUUUAGUUGACGUGCAGAUGGAUUUAUUUAAGAUUACAUCCGGGCCUCACUUUACGUAGGACGCCAUCGAUCCCUACAUUCAACCACCCAAUAGCGGUGCUCCUUGCAUCCAGAUGUGUGAAACGGACGACCUAACAUGGAAGUAAGUCGCUAUCACUGAUAGGCUGCCCGAUCGAUGGCACCGGCCCCUGGGCUUGCUGUCUAACCAUGCCCCAUGGUUGCAUGAUGACUUAUCCAAGUUGGCCACAUCCCGCAUCCGACAUGUCGCCACUGUCUCUCCUUCGUUUUUUCUUUAUAAUAUGUAGAUGGUGAAUCAUCAUUUGUGCCGCCAUUAUUUUUUUACAGUUGUUUUGUUCGUACCUUUGAAACCGACGAAGUCCAGAAUGGAACAAAUACAACAAGGAAGAUAUUUUGCUAGAGACGAAACAUGUGCACUUCAGUUCUGUUGAGAGAGAUGUAAGACGGCUACACAUUUGUUUGGGGUAACUUUCUUUUGUUAACAUGAAUUUAGUUAAUUGUUAGUAGAUAUGUUCAUAGGCUUUGAGGCCACAACUAACAGACUGAAGUCCUUGCUGAAUUAUGGAUCUUAUGGGAAGUAGCGAGAGUGUGAGACUAUGAUUUCGCCGUGGAGGCGUCACCUAACAAAUCUGCAUCCCAGGUAUAGUUUCUGAUCCUGAUGUCUUAAAAUACAUUUCUAUAGUUCUUAAUACAGUAAUACUUAACGACAUUUGUAUGGAAUGAAUGUUGUUGUGACUAAAUUCCGUGUGCAAGACCUAUCAGUUAGCAUGCUAGAAUAAAAGCUCUGAAUGAUCUAACUUCUGCAACUACCAAAUGUUGUUUCUGCACAUAGGUCAUGGAUUUCCCCUAUUGAUAUUGUACAUGCAAUUGGCUUCAAAUAUUUCAGUAAAAUCUCAUGAUGACAUCAAUAUAUAGACUUGUGCGAUAUGUGUGCAUCAAUUAUUUUGACCCAAGACAUUAUUCCAGAAAGCACAAGAUAUUACUUUAUCCAGUCUAUCCAGUCUAUUCCAGAAAGCACAAGGGCUUGUUGAUCUUUCUUUUCUAGAGUGUUUUUGUUAUGAACUCUUUCGUGAAUUUGGAGUAUCUUUUUUAUUUCUAGAACUUCUUACUGACUCUUUUCCAUUGUAUAGUAGGUUGUGAAGAAUGGGAGAUGCUGAUUUGGAAGAAGAAACAAUCAUCAAACAUGUAUAUAUAUACUGCUACUAUAGUAUUUAUACCUUGCAAGAAAAGAAAGCUGAUAAUUUCGAUGUAAACUAUGACAUUGUGGUUUACAAAUAAAUAAAAUGUUUCAUGUGUAUAUUUUCUGCACUAUGCUAAAUUCAUAUCAGAGACUUUCUA